GACGAACGCUGGCGGCGUGCUUAACACAUGCAAGUCGAACGGAAAGGCCCUGCUUUUGUGGGGUGCUCGAGUGGCGAACGGGUGAGUAACACGUGAGUAACCUGCCCUUUACUUUGGGAUAACUUCAGGAAACUGGGGCUAAUACCGGAUAGGAGCUCCUGCUGCAUGGUGUGGGUUGGAAAGUUUCGGCGGUUGGGGAUGGACUCGCGACUUAUCAGCUUGUUGGUGGGGUAGUGGCUUACCAAGGCUUUGACGGGUAGCCGGCCUGAGAGGGUGACCGGCCACAUUGGGACUGAGAUAGGGGCAAGACUCAUACGGGAGGAAGCAGUGGGGAAUAUUGCACAAUGGGCGGAAGCAUGAUGCAGCAACGCCGCGUGCGGGAUGACGGCUUUCGGGUUGUAAACCGCUUUCGCCUGUGACGAAGCGUGAGUGACGGUAAUGGGUAAAGAAGCACCGGCUAACUACGUG
rnacentral:rRNA from 1 species